GAUGAAGAACGCAGCGAAAUGCGAUAAGUAAUGUGAAUUGCAGAAUUCAGUCAAUCAUCGAAUCUUUGAACGCACAUUGCGCCCGCCAGUAUUCUGGCGGGCAUGCCUGUUCGAGCGUCAUUUCAACCAUCAAGCCCCCGGCUUGUGUUGGGGACCUGCGGCUGCCGCAGGCCCUGAAAAGCAGUGGCGGGCUCGCUGUCACACCGAGCGUAGUAGCAUACAUCUCGCUCUGGGCGUGCUGCGGGUUCCGGCCGUUAAACCACCUUCAUAACCCAAGGUUGACCUCGGAUCAGGUAGGAAGACCCGCUGAACUUAAGCAUAUCAAUAAGCGGAGGA
rnacentral:misc_RNA from 1 species